rnacentral:tRNA from 1 species
UUUGCCACUCAUACAGAGCGUUUAUGGUAAGCAGUUCUGCUUAAGUUAAAGAGUCCUUCGAGGUAGUCAAAGUGGAUAC